GACGAACGCUGGCGGCGUGCUUAACACAUGCAAGUCGAACGGAAAGGCCCUGCUUUUGUGGGGUGCUCGAGUGGCGAACGGGUGAGUAACACGUGAGUAACCUGCCCUUGACUUUGGGAUAACUUCAGGAAACUGGGGCUAAUACCGGAUAGGAGCUCCUGCUGCAUGGUGGGGGUUGGAAAGUUUCGGCGGUUGGGGAUGGACUCGCGGCUUAUCAGCUUGUUGGUGGGGUAGUGGCUUACCAAGGCUUUGACGGGUAGCCGGCCUGAGAGGGUGACCGGCCACAUUGGGACUGAGAUACGGCCCCGACUCCUACGGGAGGCAGCAGUGGGGAAUAUUGCACAAGGGGCGGAAGCCUGAUGCAGCAACGCCGCGUGCGGGAUGACGGCCUUCGGGUUGUAACCCGCUUUCGCCUGUGACGAAGCGUGAGUGACGGUAAUGGGUAAAGAAGCACCGGCUAACUACGUG
rnacentral:rRNA from 1 species